rnacentral:rRNA from 1 species
AUUGAACGCUGGCGGCAGGCUUAACACAUGCAAGUCGAGCGAGCGGCGGACGGGUGAGUAAUGUCUGGGAAACUGCCUGAUGGAGGGUGAUACCUUCUGUAAACGGUCGCUAAUACUGCAUACCAUCAGAUGUGCCCAGAUGGGAUUAGCUAGUAGGUGGGGUAAUGGCUCACCUAGGCGACGAUCCAUAGCUGGUCUGAGAGGAUGACCAGCCACACUGGAACUGGGACACGGUCCAGACUCCUACGGGAGGAAGCAGUGGGGAAUAUUGCACAAUGGGCGCAAGCCUGAUGCAGCCAUGCCGCGUAUGUGAAGAAGGCCUUCGGGUUGUAAAGCACUUUCAGCGAGGAGGCGUUACUAGCAGAAGAAGCACAGGCAAACUCCGUGCCAGCAGCCGCGGUAAUUC